UGAUGAUAAGUACAUGGCAUGGAAAUUAUUCUGAGGUUUAUUUUUGCUACUCUCGGCAGCUCUAGAUCCGGAACUUAGCUGCAACUACCUUAGUCAGUGCUGAGCAUUGACGUACGUGGAUGGACAGAAUAGUACUUCUAGAAGAAAAAGUCAAAGUAGUUAUGUCACAGACAUAACCGGAAUGGCGUAGACUACGUAAAGUUUUGAGAUGUGGAGAUUGAGUUUUCCAUAUCUUAAUUUUGAAGAAUUAGCUAGAUACUUGAAAUACAUUAACGGAAUAAGAUCGUAAAUGGGAGAUGGACCCAAAACAACUUAAA